rnacentral:rRNA from 1 species
UACGAAGGGGGCUAGCGUUGCUCGGAAUCACUGGGCGUAAAGCGCACGUAGGCGGAUUCCUAAGUCGGGGGUGAAAUCCUGGAGCUCAACUCCAGAACUGCCUUCGAUACCGGGAAUCUUGAGUCCGGAAGAGGUGAGUGGAACUGCGAGUGUAGAGGUGAAAUUCGUAGAUAUUCGCAAGAACACCAGUGGCGAAGGCGGCUCACUGGUCCGGUACUGACGCUGAGGCGCGAAAGCCAGGGGAGCAAACGGG